rnacentral:rRNA from 1 species
UACAGAGGGUGCGAGCGUUGUCCGGAAUCACUGGGCGUAAAGGGCGCGUAGGCGGCUUGAUAAGGUUGCGGUGAAAGCCCGGGGCUCAACCCCGGGUCGGCCGUGGCAACUGUCGAGCUGGAGCACUGUAGAGGCAGGUGGAAUUCCGGGUGUAGCGGUGGAAUGCGUAGAGAUCCGGAAGAACACCGGUGGCGAAGGCGGCCUGCUGGGCAGUGGCUGACGCUGAGGCGCGACAGCGUGGGGAGCAAACGAGGAUUAGAAACCCCGAGUAA